UUCAGAGGAAUAUCUGUGGCCGAAAGGAGACAAUCAGUGUUAGUUUUUCUUCCUUUCGUAGAGGUAGAAAAAUGGUGGAGGGCUCUUGGGGUGUUCUUGUAGUGGUGGGAGAAGAAAAUGAGAAAACUGCAAAGCUCUCAGAAGAAGGGCCACAAAUGGGGCGUGGGUCUUGCAAGAAACCAGGGAAAGGGAUCGAUAUACAUUAAGGAAAUGGAAGGAGCUUGAAAAUGACAUAGUGAUGGAGGAUCGGGGAGACCCAAAGAUAAGAAGAGCCUCUUAGACCUUCUGGCUUGGUCUCGCUUUGAGUUGUCUUUGUAGAGGAGAAGCUAAGAUUCUCUCUCCAACCCUUUGGCUGGAAUUGCUUGUUUAUUCUGUGUGCAUUCUUAAACUUUACCUGGACUUUUUUGAAGGGAGAGUAGAGACUGUGAGGGAAGAUGAAAUACUUGCAUUCCUAAACCCUUCAACCUCCUAACUCCACAAACCCAGAUCCAAGAUAUUUUGGAUUGUGAGUUGGAGUAACCGAAGUGAGAGUAGCUUGGCUGUGGCUAUUUCAGGUUUUGCGGGAUGGCUAUUUAAAGC
rnacentral:lncRNA from 1 species